AAUGAACGCUGGCGGCGUGCCUAACACAUGCAAGUCGCACGAGAAAGGGGGCUUCGGCUCCCGAGUAAAGUGGCGCACGGGUGAGUAACGCGUAGGUAACCUACCCCCGGGUCCGGGAUAACAGUGCGAAAGCGCUGCUAAUACCGGAUACGACCUUGGAGCGGGAGCUUCAAGUUGAAAGUCAGCCUCUCGAAGAAGCUGAUGUUCGGGGAUGGGCCUGCGUCCUAUCAGCUAGUUGGUAGGGUAACGGCCUACCAAGGCGACGACGGGUAGCUGGUCUGAGAGGAUGAUCAGCCACACUGGCACUGGAACACGGGCCAGACUCCUACGGGUGGCAG
rnacentral:rRNA from 1 species